AGCAGCCGCGGUAAUUCCAGCUCCAAUAGCGUAUAUUAAAGUUGUUGCAGUUAAAAAGCUCGUAGUUGAAUUUCGGGAUCGACGGGUCGGUCGCGCCUCUGGUGUGUACUGGCCCUGUCGGUUUCUCCCUUCUGACGAACCACGAUGUCAUUAAUUUGGUGUCGUGGGGAAUCAGGACUGUUACUUUGAAAAAUUAGAGUGUUUAAAGCAAGCAUUCGCUUGAAUACAUUAGCAUGGAAUAAUGAAAUAGGACGUUUGAUCUUAUUUUGUUGGUUUCUAAGAUCGACGUAAUGAUUAAUAGGGAUAGUUGGGGGCAUUAGUAUUCAAUUGUCAGAGGUGAAAUUCUUGGAUUUAUUGAAGACUAACUACUGCGAAAGCAUUUGCCAAGGAUGUUUUCAUUAAUCAAGAACGAAAGUUAGGGGAUCGAAGACGAUCAGAUACCGUCGUAGU
rnacentral:rRNA from 1 species